rnacentral:rRNA from 1 species
GGGUCAGUAGGUUGGUCGUGCCACCGGUACGUACUGGUCUCACUGAUUCCUCCUUCCUGAAUAACCGUAAUGCCAUUAAUUUGGUGUUGCGGGGAAACAGGACUGUUACUUUGAAAAAAUUAGAGUGUUUAAAGCAAGCUAACGCUUGAAUACAUUAGCAUGGAAUAAUGAAAUAGGACGAUCGAUCCUAUUUUGUUGGUUUCUAGGAUUGACGCA